AGCAGCCCAGAGACCCCUUUUUCCCCGGGGAGGGGGGGGCUUUUCCUCAAGAUGCAAAUCAAAAUGGGUGGUGAAUUCACGGUGGAUGUGAAUGUAAACCCUUGGGAUUUAAUGGUUGCUCUUCUUUGCUUCACAGAAUAAAUGGACAUCAUCUGAAGGGACUUGGGUGGAGGAAAGUGAGGACUCGGAAUCAUCAUCGAACCGAUCGCCGUCAUCACCAGCGUCUCGUUCCCCACCAUCUUCUCCUUCUCCAUCCUCUUCUCCUUCUGCAUCCUCAUGCCCUUCACCAGCACCAUCAUCUCCUCCAUUAAAACAGUCUCUUCCAUCUUCUCCACCAAGAGCUGGGCCAUCAACGGGACAACCAUCUGCUCAGACCAAAGGGAACCUCCCGAAAGUCAGAAGGAAGGUGUCAAGAAAAAGAAGAGGAAGCCAAAAAAUGAGGAGCCUGCCGAGAAAAGGAAAAGAAUGAAAAGAUGCUCAUUCCUGCCUUCUUUUCCUCCCUUCCUUCUAUUUCCUCUUCCAUUCUCUCUCUCUCCCUUUUUCAUUUCUUCUUUCCUUCUUUUUCAUCUC